CUCAAAAUAUUUGUAUGACUUUGAACUGUUAUUCACUUGAUCUAUUAAAACGGACACAUAUGUUUUCACUAUAAUACACAAUUCAUAAGUCUUCAACAUUACUUAAAAAUCGUCUUUCAUAACUUUACUUAAUAUUGUUUUUGGAAACUUUUUUUGUGUGAUGUUUUUUACUUUAAUAAUCGAUUGAUUUGUUUAGUUUAUAAGAAUGUUUUUUGUGAUGUUUUAAGUUUUCAAAAACAACAUGGAAGACAGGAAUACUAACUUUAUAGUGAAUUCGGUGUUGGUCCCGACCCCUUCACCAUGGUCAUGUUCAAACCGGAUUUUGCAAGACUAGAUAUGGAUACUAAUAUUGAUAAUGACACAAUUUCUCUAAUGAUCUACAUCCUCGUGGAAAUCUUGUUUUUUAAAAU
rnacentral:sRNA from 1 species